CGGGAUAGGUCAGUUGGUAGAGCAGAGGACUGAAAAUCCUCGUGUCC
rnacentral:tRNA from 1 species